rnacentral:rRNA from 1 species
UAUGUAGGGGGCUAGCGUUGUCCGGAAUCAUUGGGCGUAAAGCGCGUGUAGGCGGUCCGGUAAGUCCGCUGUGAAAGUCGGGGGCUCAACCCUCGGAUGCCGGUGGAUACUGUCGGGCUUGAGUACGGAAGAGGCGAGUGGAAUUCCUGGUGUAGCGGUGAAAUGCGCAGAUAUCAGGAGGAACACCGAUUGCGAAGGCGGGUCGCUGGGACGUUACUGACGCUGAGACGCGAAAGCGUGGGGAGCAAACAGG